UAUAUCUUGUAAGUUUGUGGCAUUGCUCAUCUACAAAGCUACAGAGUUUAGCCUGAAUAUACAAACUGUUAAUAAUUAUAUCAAUUUAAAAACUUCUCCCUACUUGUUUUUAUUUACUUUUUUUUUUUUUUUAAUUCAGAGGAGAAGUACUUUGCAAGUUGUCUGAAGGCAUUUUGAAGACGUUUUGAGCUUUUACAGCAGAACGCAUGCUGUUGUAUCCAGAAUGAUAUUUGCCUUUUUUUGAAAUAAACAAUGCCUUCACGGAAAACUACUGGUUACCACUGUUGCCUCACAGCAGGGAGGUCCUGGGUUUGAACCCUGGCACCCUUUCUGUGUGGACCUUACACUGACAAAAAAAAAGCUAAGUUAAUGUUGACUGUCUGGGCCGAAGACACUCUUGCCGAAGAGAUUGUUGAUGUCAAGAGUUCCACUUUCUGAUUAAAUAAAGGUCGAUGCCUAAAAAAUGUGCACGUUAGCCAUGCUCUGUGCUUUAAUGCACCUCCCAUCAUGGAUGCUGGCUAUUGAACUGCACUGAUAACAAGUCAGAUGUCCUUCUCCUCCUUUGCACAGAGAAUUAAAUGUUGAUGAUAUAUAAAAA